AUUGAACGCUGGCGGCAGGCUUAACACAUGCAAGUCGAGCGGGGGAGGUUGCUUCGGUAACUGACCUAGCGGCGGACGGGUGAGUAAUACUUAGGAAUCUGCCUAUUAAUGGGGGACGACAUCUCGACAGGGAUGCUAAUACCGCAUACGCACUACGGGGGAAAGCAGGGGAUCACUUGUGAACUUGCGUUAAUAGAUGAGCCUAAGUCGGAUUAGCUAGUUGGUGGGGUAAAGGCCUACCAAGGCGACGAUCUGUAGCGGGUCUGAGAGGAUGAUCCGCCACACUGGGACUGAGACACGGCCCAGACUCCUACGGGAGGCAGCAGUGGGGAAUAUUGGACAAUGGGGGGAACCCUGAUCCAGCCAUGCCGCGUGUGUGAAGAAGGCCUUAUGGUUGUAAAGCACUUUAAGCGAGGAGGAGGCUCUUUUGGUUAAUACCCAAGAUGAGUGGACGUUACUCGCAGAAUAAGCACCGGCUAACUCUGUGCCAGCCGCCGCCGUAA
rnacentral:rRNA from 1 species